UUUUCUUCUUUGUCCUCUUCGUUCUUCUUCGUCUUUCGUUCUUCUUCUUCUUCUUCUUCUUCUUUUUUUUGUUUCCUUUUCUUCUUCUCCUUCCCAUACGUCCUCCUUCACCUUCCUUUAAUUUCUCCUCCCUGCACCCUUGAACGGCACGUCAUCUCCACCUUCGUCGGCUGUUAAUCGCGCUCCGCCGUCGUCUUCCUCGACCUGUCGAUAGCGAGUCGCCGCUGCCUACCGUCCUGAAAUGCAAAUCCUAGAUCUUUCCAUGAGUUUGGAUUUAUUUAUUUUUUUGUCUUAUUAUUUUUUGUCGAUGUUUAUUUAGAUGGAAGAAACUUUCAGUAAGAUCGGACAAAUAAGAAGAUGCUUUAUGGUUACCAAAAAAGGUAGGCUAAUCUAGUGCCCAUGUUAAAUUUGAGGAUCACCUGAAACAAGUUUAUGAUUUUAAAUGUUGUGGACAACCAAAAGAAUAAUACUUAUAUAGGAUGGGAUUGAUUUAAAAAUUGCUUGUUUUGAAGUCAAAAAAUCAUGAUUGUUUUAUUUCUUGUAGCAAAAAUAUUUUGUCUAGACUAAGCUUUUAUUUUUGGUCGGCCUUUGUUUGUUUUAUAUUAGGAUCAAGUGAGCAUCGAAGGUUUGGCUAUGUUCAAUUGUAAGUAAAAUUUGUUUUUUUUAAUUUUUUUCUGGAUUUUGUGAGUGGUACUAGGUUUUAUAUUGAUUCUCAAUUGUAAGUGUUGCCAUUGAAGAUACUAAUCAUUCCAUUGAGUUGAAGAAUUGUUCAGCUAUUGGAGGUAGAAAGAUUCUAGUUAAAAAUGCCAUGUAUGGUGCUCAUCUUGAGCAGCUUCGAACAAAAGACAAUGAAUGUGUGUUUUUUCGAAUUGUUGCAUCUUUUAUGUGUCUUUCUUGCCUCACCAUAUAACACAUUAGUUGAUAGAUGAAUAUUGUGUUCUUUUCUUGUUUCAAAUUUAACUUUUACAAGUUUAUGAUCAUUUUGAAUUUUUGUCGCAAUGUUUGGAAUUCUUAAUUUUCUUCCAUUCAAUAUAGAGAUGCUAUCAAACUAGAGAGUAACAAUAAUAAGGCUUUGUAAUUCCGAGCAAAAGGUUCUAGUUUUAAGUCUGCAUCUGUUAUGUGGUAAUCUAGAAUAGAACACCAUUGCUUGUUUUAUGAUUAUGGUUUGGAUUCUUGAUUUUCUUCGGUUCAAUCUGGAUAUAUUGUGAAACCCGAGAAUAACAAGGCUGUUACAAUAGCAGACAAAACUGACAAGGCUUCACAAUUCCAAACAAAAGGUUCUAGUUUCAAGUUUGCAUAUGAUAUGUGGUGUUGUCAUUUAGUGCACACCAUUUCUUGUUUUGUUAUCAACCUUAUUAAUAUUGAAAAUAUCAUGUGAGGUAUAAUGAGAAAAAAUCGAUCGCAGUUUCUAGUAUCCGUCCCAAGAAAGUGAAAAGUUCUGAAAACGAGACAUUUUCUUCGAAUUUUGUUGUUUUAUUUUUCUUCUUGUUAUGGUUGAUAUUAAUAUUGUUAAGUUAGAUUUGGUCCAAAGUUAUCGAUAAAUAAUUUUAAUAUUUAGGUUAUAUGAAUAUAUGUCUUGAAUAACUUGUUGGUUUGCACGUGUAUUUUGGUGUUGAUAUAAAUUAAAGUAUGAUUAUUAUUAUUUUUUAGUUUGGUUGGUAUUCCUGUGUUGUUUUUUUGUUGAAUUUUAAUUAAUAUUAUAUGUUCACGAGUUUAUUGGUUACUUGUGAUGGUUUUCCAACUUUCGUAUUUAUUUGAUUUUGUAGAUCUUAGUUUGAUGCAUUGUGUUAGCUAUUAAUUAUAUAAUAGGUUAGUGGAUAUUUUUUCUAUGAGUAAUGAAUAGCUAUUAAUUAUAGAAUAGUUAUUGUCAUUGAUUUACUUUUGGAUUUGCAUUGUGGAUGUUUCUAUGGUUACGAUUGUGAGUUGUUUUGUUACUGCAAAAAAUAAAGAACUUAUUCUAUGAUAGUUAUAUGGUAAUGAUUGUUAAUUUGGUUUAUUUUUAAUAUGAUGAUUUGAAUGCAUUUUUCAUUACUUUUUUUGUUAUUUUUAUUACAAGUGUGAGAUUAUCUAUUUUUUUUUGGAUGACGUGAGAACCCGCAGCCGCUACCCGAAAGUGCGCACUGGGUAAACCCCCAGUUGGUGAUAAUAUUGUGACAUAUACAGUUAGGUUUUGUAAUGAAUUAUGAAUUUCAUGACUCAUAUUCUUCAUUUUAUUUGUUUAUCCUUGCAUAUGAUAUGGGUUAUGUAUAUGAGGAUUGUAUCUAAUUUGGAACAGGAAUUUGGGCUGAACUUGAGCAAUUUUGAUUGAAGUGCCACUCAUGAAUUUAUUUUACUUUAUUCCAGAUUUAAUUUGUUUUCGUUGUUUAUCUCUUUGGAAAUGUGGAUUUGUGGUGUAGAAUGUUAUCGUUUAUGAAUUAGCUAUUAUUAACUAAAAUUUCACUUUUUAAACAUUAUUUCUUUGUUAUUUUCUCUAAACUCUCUCUAUGUCUUGUAAUACAUAAUGCUAUGCCUCUGUUCGUCUGGUAUAUAGGGAGACGUUUCUGCUAAGCAAGCAAGCACUGCCUCGAUUGUUUUCUUAUGAUGUAUCAACAAAUUCAAUUAAAAAACAUCAAUACUGGAUUACUCCUAGCAUAAUUUUUCUUGCAGAUUUGAUUAGUCACGGAAGUAUGGCUAUAAUUGACAUUAUUUCAGGUAGACAGGCUUCAGACGUUGUACAAAAGUUGGGAAGAUAACCCGGAUGUUGGGUAGAGAGAUAAGGCAUUUGCUGCUGCUGGUGAUAUUGUGUCCAUCUAUAAUAUGCUAAAACAAGGUUAUACCAUUAAUAUAGUAAAGGUUCUUUUCACGGCUGAUACCGUUCCGGAGGCUACGCUAAUUCACGAACGAUAUCUGAAGUGCAAACACUCUGUGAGUUUGUCCACGUCGAGCCAAUCGACUGGACAUUCAAGGAUGCACCUCGUUCGUCACACAUAACUGCCGUGUAUGUUCACUUUGAUGCUGCAUGGGGCGAUGCAGCGUUGCAUGUAAUUCUAUGAUGAUAGCUUUUGUUUGUGGAUUGAUACUGACUAAGUCCUUUACGUAGGUUGAACUUGCAUAUGUUGCUUCCUUUUGUGUGUUUGUUGUUAUGCUUUGCCUUUGGAUUGUAUAUGUUGGUUGUAUUGCGAACUAGUUAUGUUCCUAGAUAGUGUGUACUUGGUGCUACUAAUGGUUGUAUUGCGAACUAGUUAUGUUUUUCGGUUCCGAUACUAUUUUUUUUGUUAUUACUAAAAAAAUAAGGAUACACUUUUUGUUGCGAAAUUGUGUUCGUUACAAAUACCGGUACAAAAAAUUAUGAAU